GACGUAGGGCGCGAGCGUUGUCCGGAUUUAUUGGGCGUAAAGAGCUCGUAGGCGGUUUGUCGCGUCGUCUGUGAAAACCCACGGCUCAACUGUGGGCUUGCAGUCGAUACGGGCAGGCUAGAGUUCGGUAGGGGAGACUGGAAUUCCUGGUGUAGCGGUGAAAUGCGCAGAUAUCGGGAGGAACACCGGUGGCGAAGGCGGGUCUGCUGG
rnacentral:rRNA from 1 species